CGUAACAAGGUUUCCGUAGGUGAACCUGCGGAAGGAUCAUUACCGAGUGAGGGCCCUCUGGGUCCAACCUCCCACCCGUGUUUAUUUUACCUUGUUGCUUCGGCGGGCCCGCCUUAACUGGCCGCCGGGGGGCUUACGCCCCCGGGCCCGCGCCCGCCGAAGACACCCUCGAACUCUGUCUGAAGAUUGUAGUCUGAGUGAAAAUAUAAAUUAUUUAAAACUUUCAACAACGGAUCUCUUGGUUCCGGCAUCGAUGAAGAACGCAGCGAAAUGCGAUACGUAAUGUGAAUUGCAAAUUCAGUGAAUCAUCGAGUCUUUGAACGCACAUUGCGCCCCCUGGUAUUCCGGGGGGCAUGCCUGUCCGAGCGUCAUUGCUGCCCUCAAGCACGGCUUGUGUGUUGGGCCCCGUCCUCCGAUCCCGGGGGACGGGCCCGAAAGGCAGCGGCGGCACCGCGUCCGGUCCUCGAGCGUAUGGGGCUUUGUCACCCGCUCUGUAGGCCCGGCCGGCGCUUGCCGAUCAACCCAAAUUUUUAUCCAGGUUGACCUCGGAUCAGGUAGGGAUACCCGCUGAACUUAAGCAUAUCAAUAAGCGGAGGA
rnacentral:sRNA from 1 species